rnacentral:rRNA from 1 species
GGUGCUUGCACUUGAAAGAUUUAACAUUGAGACGAGUGGCGAACUGGUGAGUAACACGUGGGUAACCUGCCCUUGAAGUAGGGGAUAACACUUGGAAACAGGUGCUAAUACCGUAUAACAACCAAAACCACCUGGUUUUGGUUUAAAAGACGGCUUCGGCUGUCACUUUAGGAUGGACCCGCGGCGCAUUAGCUUGUUGGUAAGGUAACGGCUUACCAAGGCGAUGAUACGUAGCCGACCUGAGAGGGUAAUCGGCCACAUUGGGACUGAGACACGGCCCAAACUCCUACGGGAGGCAGCAGUAGGGAAUCUUCCACAAUGGACGAAAGUCUGAUGGAGCAACGCCGCGUGAGUGAUGAAGGGUUUCGGCUCGUAAAACUCUGUUGUUGGAGAAGAACAGGUGUCAGAGUAACUGUUGACAUCUUGACGGUAUCCAACCAGAAAGCCACGGCUAACUACGUGCCAGCAGCCGCGGUAAUACGUAGGUGGCAAGCGUUGUCCGGAUUUAUUGGGCGUAAAGCGAGCGCAGGCGGUUUUUUAGGUCUGAUGUGAAAGCCUUCGGCUUAACCGGAGAAGUGCAUCGGAAACCGGGAGACUUGAGUGCAGAAGAGGACAGUGGAACUCCAUGUGUAGCGGUGAAAUGCGUAGAUAUAUGGAAGAACACCAGUGGCGAAGGCGGCUGUCUGGUCUGUAACUGACGCUGAGGCUCGAAAGCAUGGGUAGCGAACAGGAUUAGAUACCCUGGUAGUCCAUGCCGUAAACGAUGAGUGCUAAGUGUUGGAG